GGAACUCAGUCCCAAGUAAAACUUUAAAGAGGCCAAGAAAAAGAGAAAUGGAAAGUGAGGAGACACGAGUUUUGGAUGUGAGGAAUAAUCCUAGUCUGUCACGUGUGCUGUGCAUCUCUGGUACUGCAGAAGAUACUUUAUGGCAGGAAAGAUCCUAAGAGUUAAUGCUGAAUUCCUAUGUGACAGAAGAGAAACAAUGGAGAUAAUUCAGAGCUUUGUCAUCAAGCUAACAAGGAGCUUCCAGAAAAUGCCAUGUGUGCAGAUCUCCUACAGCGGCUCCUCACUUUUCCCAUGUCACUGACAUUUUGGGAGGAUCCGAUGAAGCUUAUGAAGCCUCUGCCCAAACAAGUG